GGCAAUAGGAAAGUUUUUGAAGUGUGUGUGUGUUGAGUUUUAAAAUGGAUUUGGCAAAUUUUUGCUCCCCUUCUUGCUGGCCCAGGUGGAGAUGUGUGUGUGUAGCACUGACAGGUGUUAUUGCUGGCCCAGGUGGAGGUGUGUGUGUGUAGCACUGACAGGUGUUAUUGCUGGCCCAGGUGGAGGUGUGUGUGUGUAGCACUGACAGGUGUUAUUGCUGGCCCAGGUGGAGGUGUGUGUGUGUAGCACUGACAGGUGUUAUUGCUGGCCCAGGUGGAGGUGUGUGUGUGAGGCACUGACAGGUGUUAUUGCUGGCCCAGGUGGAGGUGUGUGU